GCUUAAUUUGACUCAACGCGGGAAAUCUUACCGGGUCCGGACACACUGAGGAUUGACAGAUAUAUACCCGUGAGUACUUCGGUGCUCGCGGGUUGAAAGAUGCUAGUUCUUUCAUGAUUAUGUGAUAGGUGGUGCAUGGCCGUUCUUAGUUCGUGGAGUGAUCUGUCUGCUUAAUUGCGUAUCAAUAAUAGAGACCUAGUAUACGCGUAGACUCAUGCGGUAGUGACCCCCCUUCACAGGGCGCGUGUCGCACGUAUGUUAUACGCACAGGUCUCCGAUAGCAACGAACGUGACCGUACUCUAUUGUUGCAGCGACAAUACCUUUCAGGUAUUACCGCUGCUUAGCAAGAUUCGUCUUGCAUUAAACUAUAGAGACCGCUGUUUCUUCUUUAAACCAGAGGAAGGAUACGGCAAU
rnacentral:rRNA from 1 species